GGGCCUAUAGCUCAGUUGGUUAGAGCAACCGGCUCAUAACCGGUUGGUCCCUGGUUCGAGUCCAGGUGGGCCCACCA
rnacentral:tRNA from 2 species